AAGAUUGAGAUAGUCGGGCUUGAUUGGGAAGCAAUAACAUGGUUUAUGUACUCGUUCUGGAUAAAUAAAGAUUUUUGGAUCUUGUUCUCCGGAUAGUAGUUACGUAACCAAUUGUGGAACUUUCUUGCUAAAAUUUUUAAAGAAUUAUCGCAAGAUAUAUUCUUUUUAAAUUAUAACGAUUAUCAAUUAACAAUCAAUUCAGAACUGGCACGGACUUGGGGAAUCCGACUGUCUAAUUAAAACAAAGCAUUGUGAUGGCCCCAGCGGGUGUUGACACAAUGUGAUUUCUGCCCAGUGCUCUGAAUGUCAACGUGAAGAAAUUCAAGUAAGCGCGGGUCAACGGCGGGAGUAACUAUGACUCUCUUAAGGUAGCCAAAUGCCUCGUCAUCUAAUUAGUGACGCGCAUGAAUGGAUUAACGAGAUUCCUUCUGUCCCUAUCUACUAUCUAGCGAAACCACAGCCAAGGGAACGGGCUUGGAAUCAUUAGCGGGGAAAGAAGACCCUUUUGAGCUUGACUCUAGUCUGGCAGUGUAAGGAGACAUAAGAGGUGUAGCAUAAGUGGGAGAUAAUUGAAUUUUUUUCAUUUAUCGCCAAUGAAAUACCACUACUCUUAUUGUUUCCUUACUUACUUGAUUAAAUGGAACGUGUAUCAUUUUCUAGCCAUUAUACGGAUAUAUUUAUAUAUCUUAUGGUAUUAGGUCUUGAUGCAAGCUUCUUGAUCAAAAUAUCACGAGUUUGUUAUAUAAUUGUAAACAGAUUUUAAUGAAAUGAUAGCAUCAUUUCGAUGUUGUUAUUAUAAUUGAGAUUUGGUAUAACUCCAACACUCAGGUAUGAUCCAAUUCAAGGACAUUGCCAGGUGGGGAGUUUGACUGGGGCGGUACAUCUCUCAAAUAAUAACGGAGGUGUCCCAAGGCCAGCUCAGUGCGGACAGAAACCACACAUAGAGCAAAAGGGCAAAUGCUGACUUGAUCUCGGUGUUCAGUACACACAGAGACAGCUAAAGCUCGGCCUAUCGAUCCUUUUGGUUUAAAGAGUUUUUAACAAGAGGUGUCAGAAAAGUUACCAUAGGGAUAACUGGCUUGUGGCGGCCAAGCGUUCAUAGCGACGUCGCUUUUUGAUCCUUCGAUGUCGGCUCUUCCUAUCAUUGUGAAGCAAAAUUCACCAAGCGUUGGAUUGUUCACCCAUGCAAGGGAACGUGAGCUGGGUUUAGACCGUCGUGAGACAGGUUAGUUUUAUCCUACUAAUGACAAUUAUGUUGUUGCGACAGCAUUCCUGCGUAGUACGAGAGGAACCGCAGGUACGGACCAAUGGCACAAUACUUGUUCGAGCGAACAGUGGUAUGACGCUACGUCCGUUGGAUUAUGCCUGAACGCCUCUAAGGUCGUAUCCGUGCUGGACUGCAAUGAUAAAAAUGGGGCAAUUGCAUUGUAUGGCUUCUAAACCAUUUAAAGUUUAUAAAUAUUUAUUUAUAAACGGCAAUUUGGAUGUGAUGCCAAUGUUAUUAGUGACAUAGCAAAUUUGGGAGGAUUAAAUAUCACCCGGAUGCCACGCUAGUCGCUUAUUAAAACAUUAUUUAAUACAAUGGCAAUGCCUAGAAUCAAUUGUAAACGACUUUUGUAACGGGCA
rnacentral:rRNA from 1 species